AGAAACGAGACUCCUUUCAAUUUUGAAUUCCAAGCUUUGCCUCUCUCUCUCUCUCUCUCUCUCUCUCUCUCCAAUUUUGAAUUCAAAAUUGUUAAGGGGUUUCCUUCCGCCGCUCACCACCGCCGUGGUCCGCCUCACCACCACCACAAGAUUCAUAUAUUGGCGGCGGCAGGUCUCGAGUGUUCAAUUGGUAUGCGGUUGAUGAUUAUUUUGUGUGAUAUGAUCUUUAUUGGGCGCUUCGGUUUGGUUUCAGUGAAUUAAGGUGCAUCUCGGUUCAAUUCAGUUAAUAGUGCUACCUGUUGUAUCUCGUUUGCUUGAUGACUCCGAUAGGUGUGCAGGUUCAGGCUUUGUUAAAUUCAACUGGUCUAUCACAAGAAACUAAACCACCAAGUACAAAAGAAGGUGAACCUGCAACGACAAGAGCUGAACAAGCUCCUGUGGGACAUCCAGUUGCUGGUGAUCAGAUGUCCAACAACCUUGUUUCUGACAAUGAGAAGCUGAAGGCUUUGGUAAAUUCACUGGAAAAGAAGAUUGAGGAAACAAGCAGGCUUAGUGAAGAAAGAUUGAAGCAGGCUACAGUCGCCGAGUCUAAGAUAAUUGAAUUGAAGAGUACCAUGCAGAGACUCGACGAAAAACUCUCCGACAUUCAAACCGAGGACCGAGUUUUACGGCAGAAUUCGUUGCGCAUGUCACCUUCUCAAAUGACAUCUCUGAACAUUUAGCAGCUGCAACAGCUCAGCAUAUGUAGAGUAGAUAUAUGGAAUUAUCCAAGACAAUUUGAAGAAGGAAUUAUCUCUUCAUCUUUCUUCUUGUGUCCAGGUGCCUCAAGUUCUUGUGCAGAAGAUACUUACUCAAAAUUUCACAUAUAUCAAUGUACAGAUUUUCAAUAGUCUCCUCCUUCAGAAAGAGUUCUGUACAUUCAGCAACGGGAAUUAUGUGAAGAAUGGGUUAGCUGAGUUGGAACUGUGGUGUAACCUAGCAAAGGAAGAGUAUGCUGGCUCAUCAUGGGAUGAACUCAAAUGUCUUAGGCAGGCUGUAGGAUUCCUGGUUCUGCAUGAAAAGUCUAGAAUCUCCUAUGAUGAACUCACAAAUGACCUGUGCCCUGUUAAGCUUUUCUCUCUGUAAUCCUAGCUGUUGAAAUGUAUUUUAGGACCUUUUGUGACUGAGAUCAUCUUGUUCUUGGUGAUCCUUAGUCUUCUAUCUUUGCACAUGCCAAAUAUACUUGAUUAUUGAUUGGUUAUGGUGGCCUAUAUUUAUGGUUCUGUCUCCAGGUCUUGAGUGUUUGGCAGCUUCAUAGAAUAUUUACGUUGUUUUGGGAUGAUGUUGACAAUGAACCAAGUGUAUCCCUUGAUGUGAGUUGCUUGAGAAAUGUGAAUUUGUCUUCAAACUUCUUACUUCAAUAUUUUGACUAUUCUGUAGGUCAUUUCCAGCAUGAGUUUUGUAAUGAUAGAUGAUUCCAGCAAUGAAGAUAGCAACAAUUAUUCAUUGGAUGAUACUCAGCAUUCCCUAUUCAGUGAUUUAUCUACUACCAUGCACAACCAGACAUUCCCAGAUAUAAAACCUCCAGCGGAGCUUUUGGAGAAUUCAGCCUUCCAAUUUUUACAAGAAUACCCGGUGGCACCAUUGCUUUUCUAGAUGAGGUUUCGUAUGCAAUCGGAUAUAUAUAAAGUUUAAUGAGGUUUGGUAUGCUUUUCAUCUUCAGAUACCCGGUGGCAUCAUUGCUUUUCUAGAUGAGGUUUGGUAUGCAAUCGGAUAUAUAUAAAGUUUCAUGUCAUGUUCCCCAGAUCUACACAUGAGACGUUGUCAAAAAAGCUUUAUCAAACUUUUAAGGACCAUAAACUAUGCUUACUUCACCAUAUGCCAUUAUGCUGUGAGGUUACGUAUCAAACAAAGUAUUUCAUAUAGUAAGAACAAAGAUUAUGUUGUUGCUGAGUUUUAAGCGCUCUUGAGUGCAUCAGACUGCCCUUUUGUUUCAGGCUUCUUCACUCUUUUACCCGAAGAUUCUGCUAAGUCAUUAAAAUUCUCAUCAAUAGGUUCUCAAUUCCAGCAACAACUACAAUCUUUGCUUGAAACACUAGGUUCCAUUGAGCCUCACUACAUACGUUGUGUGAAGCCAAAUAAUUAACUUAAGUCAGCCAUUUUUGAGAAUAAUGAUCUUUUGAAUCAGCUUAGCUGUGGGGGAAUUAUGGAGGCAAUUAGGAUUAGUUGUGCUGGAUUUCCCACUAGAAAGACAUUUGCUGAUUUUGCUACUCGUUUUGGCAUCCUCGCACCUGAGGUUCUAAAAGGAAGGUAGUUGGACUAUUACGUAAGCAAUUCAAACUUAAGUGUGAAGCUUUUUUGAAAUUGCAACCAACCUGAGCAAGGGUUCACUUUCAAGCUCAAGUUAGCUGAUGGAAAUCAUGGGAUCGAAUCAACUGGACAUCUACGCACUACUGUUGUCAUUUGAUCUCAUCGGAAUGAAGUCUCUCUCUCUCGCUCUCUCAUUUCUCAUUCUCUCAGUACUCUCGACUCCAGAAGUCCAGAUCUGAGAUAUUUCAAUAUGAAGAGAUCUCGUGGAAACUCAAGGCUCCCAAAAAGACGUCUUUUCAAUAAUGCAUCUCCAUCUUCAUCUCAGCCCCUACUAGUUAUGGUGAUUCAUCCACACGGUUCACACCGUCUGAAGCAACGUCUGCUGCAGCUCCACCUCAAAUUGUUGAUUUAGAGGAUGACGUAGAUACAAGGACUGACGAGGAGAUUUUGGAAGGUAUGAAGAAUAAUGAAAUGUCAGAAGCUUGGGCUCACUAUACUAGAAAAAUGGUGGAUGGUAGAGUAAAAGGGAACUGUAACUUUUGCAAAAAAGAUAUAUUAGCUGAUCCUAGAUCGAAUGGUACCUCAGCCCUUCUUAGUCAUGUGAAAAUUUGCAAGAAAUAUCCCCCAAAUGUUGAGGUUUUAAACAAAGGGAGGCAUAAAAUAUUAGUUUUUAAAAACAAGGGAGAGUUGAAAGCUGUUGGGUGUUCUCAACAAGAGAUAACUGAGGGCUGUGUUCAUAUGAUAAUAGUGGAUGAGCUGCCUUUUAAGUUUGUUGAGGGGGAGGGGUUUAGGUAUUUCUGUUAGAGGGCUUGUCCUUAUUGGGUUAUUCCUUCUCGUCAGACAGUUGCAAAACACGUGUUAAGUAUGUACAAGUCUGAAAGAAAAUCUUAAGGAUGCUUUAAAAGGGAAGAGGGUCAGCCUAAUAACGAAUACUUGGACAUCUGUUCAAAAUAUAAAUUACAUGGUCCUUACUGCUCAUUUUGUUGUUGAUGAUUGGAUUUUACAUAAGAAAGUGUUGAAUUUCUGUGUUAUUCCAAAUCAUAAAGGGGAGUCCAUUGCUAGACUUUUAGAAGAGUGUCUGAUAGAGUGGGAAAUAAGGAAGAUUCUCACCAUAACAGUUGAUAAUGCCUCUGCUAAUGAUGCUGCAUUAAAGGAUUUGAUAAAGAGAAUAGGGGAGUGGGAAACCCCUAAUGUACUUUUGCAGGGAGGGGAGAAUAUGCAUGUGAGGUGUGUUGCCCAUAUUCUAAAUUUAAUUGUGAAUGAUGGCCUUGCUGUAAUGAAUGCCUGUAUCCAAAACAUUCGUAAUGCUGUUAGGUAUGUAAGAUCUUCCCCACAAAGGCUGGACAUGUUUAAGAAGUGCAUUGAAAAUGUCAAAAUUGAGAGUAAAGGGCUUGUGAUCAUGGAUGUUUCCACCAGAUGGAAUUCGACUUUUUUGAUGUUGCAGUCAGCUAUAAAGUUCAGAAAAGCAUUUGAUAGAUUGAAAGAGGACGAUGGUCACUAUGUGAAAUACUUCCAAGGUGAGUUAAAAGAUGGGCCACCUGAUGCAAAUGAUUGGGUUUCACCAGAAGACUGUGCUGUUUUUCUGAAACCAUUUUAUGAUGUGACAUUGCAUGUGUGUUGCUCAAGUUCUCCAACAAUCCAUACUAUUUUCGGUGAUCUGCUUAAGAUUUAUGGUCUGUUGCAAGAAAGUAGUGAUGUAGUGCUCUCUGAUGUUAUAAAACCUAUGCAAAACAAGUAUGAUAAAAAUUGGGGCAAGAUGGAGAAUGUGAAUCCGUAUAUGUUUGUAGUAAUUGUUCUUGAUCCUCGUCAUAAAUUGGAGAAGCUUGUUGAUUAUUAUGAAGUGUUGUUUGGUGAGUUUGAUGUGAAGGUCGAGCAGCAUGAAAAGAGAGUGAAAGAUCUGUUGUACGAAUUGUAUAGAAGUUAUGAAAAUGAAGGAGUCACAGAUUUAGGAAGUGCUGCCUCUGGUUCUCAAAGAUUGCAGCUUGAUGUUGCUUUUUUAAGUAUGUGUGCAUCUGCUUAUGAAAGAAAGUUGGCUGAAAAGGAACAAAGAAGAAAAGCAAGAAAAGCUAGAAUUGUUCAAAAUGAUGUGGAUAAGUAUCUAGCUGAUAGGUGUGAAGGAGAAAAUGAUGAAAAUUUUGAGAUAUUAGAUUGGUAGAGAGUGAGUGGAGUUGCAAAGUAUCCAACUUUGGCUAGAGUAGCAAAAGAUCUUCUAGCAAUUCCAGUUUCAACUAUAGCUUCAGAAUCUUCCUUAAGCACAAGUGGCCGCGUAAUUGAUUCAUUUCGAAGUUCACUGAGUCCCAGAAUGGUGGAGGCUUUGAUUUGUACCCAAAAUUGGCUCACUAGCACUCAUGUUGCAUUGAAUGAAACUCCAACCAUUGAGGAUAUGGAGCUGUGUGAACAAGUUGAGCGAGAAUGGGAAAUACUUUCUUCAGCUUGUUCAGCUGCACCUAGUGAUGCUAUGAGUGGUAGCAUGUUGCCUCCAAAAUCUGUCAUGAGGGCUUGCCAAACUUGAUGUUGUUGACUGGCUGGAUUGAGGUCAUGGAGCUUGUUGCUUUUGUUGCUGAUCUAUAUUACCUUGGUUGCCAGCAACUCCCCUGCAAUGUUGUUAUAUGUUGUUGUUGUUGUUGUUGUUAUAUGUUCAUACUGUUCUAGGUUUUCGUUGCUUUUAUUUCUCU